AAACGAGUCGAUUUUUACAAAGCUCAUCGUUCUGAAAAAGCAAGGUGUGAUCUAAUUGGCCAGCUAUCCAGUGCGUUGUGAUUGGCCGAAUGCCUCAAGUGUGUGACGGAAAUGUUACACCCCUUAACAUACUAUGCCGUCUCCCAGGCCAGCAGCACGAGACUUAGUCCAGCUGCUCUGCUCAUGCACAUCCCGUCAUCGGUUCUCUUUUAGCAGUUCAGUCAAUGUACUUUUAGGAGUAACUGAAUAUUGGUUUAUUUAGCAUCAGAGGGAGUGUAAGGCACGUUUAUAAACCGAAUUUGUAAUUUGUGGAUUAGUGUGUACUGGAGACGCGAACCGUUUCAAACGAUUCAGUUCUAUUUGGUGAACUGGUUCGACCGGUUCACGAAGAAGAUCCGGUUAAAUAGAAAGAUUCGUUCGCAAUCCAGACAUCACUAGAUGAGACAAAACCAAUAAAACCCAUUACAAACAAAGCAUUUGUUGCAUCCAGUGGGGACAUAAUUACUGAUUAUAAUGACUUAUACUGUCUUUUUACGUGUUGCAUAUCGCGCUGCGUUAAAAACCAUGUCUGCAUUUGUGAUCGGAGAAACAACAAGCGCUACUCUACACUGCUUAAAACUCACACUUAAAUUAUCAUUGGCAAAUUAUUUAAAUAUAAAAAAAACGAACUUACAGACUGUGAGUCAGAAGCACCAGACUGUCCUUGCAAAGUUUGAACUGCCCAACUUUAUAGAAACAGCCGUUGUGCCACAGACGCAUUGCAGGCUACUAGUUCAGGAAACAGUCCUCAUCCUUCAUAAAAUGCGCUGCACACAUCUGAAAAUUUGGGUUGAACUGUUCUGGAACAGUGUUGAAAUACAACUACUGAUUUCUAGUCGUGCCCUCUUUUGGAAGGCCAAACAAAGUAGUUUAGCUUUCACAACGAAACACACAGCGACUCCACAACAUGGCAGCAGCGGCAAGAGAGAGAAUAAAAGUUACACCUUCUUUCUUUGUGUGAACAUUUGGGCGACGUUAUGCAAAUCUUCCCACAUAGUGAUGUAGAGAUGUGGGGGCGUGUUAGAACGAGCCGUUUUAGGGGGGUGUGGUUGACUCUUAACUUUUAUAAAGAAUAUCUCUUUGGAUUUAAGCCUUUAGUCUUUGCAACUUUACAAAUCUUCUUUAUGCACCAAGAGCUUGUAACACUCCAAAGAGAAAGGAAAAAUUGAAAUCGGAUCAUAUGGCCCCCUUUAAAGAAAUAGUUCAGUGAGAGGUCUAAUGCUAUUUAUUGCAUUCUGACUUACUUACAUUGUUAAAGAGUUGGAUUCUCAUGCUAAACAUGACCAAAGUCUCAAAAAACGAGUUGGACGUAUUUCUGUGCCAAAUACACUCCUUCAGGCUUCAUAUAAGUUUCUGAAAGUUUUUUUUUUUCGAGCAUGGCCCUGUAUGACAUCAUAAAGGGUGGAAUUCCUUGUAUGGACACUUCUGCCGGAAGAGUGUGCGUGCACACAACAAGAGCAGCCCAUCAACACGCUUUAUUCGGGUUACGGAAGUCGUCGGCAGUGCUGCACAGGACUUGCUCAAGAAGGAUUUUACAUUUUGUUUUUGACCACAAAAUCGACAAUGUCACAAAAAGGAGUGUGUUUCUGGUUGUGAGGGAAAGAGAAACUUGUUCAGCUUCCCAAAGAACCCAGUGUUAAAGGGGACAUGAAUUGAGAAAUCAACUUUUACUUGAGCUUUUGAUAUAUAAGAGAUCAUCGUAUUCAAUGAAAAUCCUGUAAGUUUCAGAACUGAAAAUGUCCUUGUAAAUAAAAGCUUUUAUUGACAUCAGGAGCAGCAACUGCCAGAUCCUGGAAUGUGUCUAUCUAUAAUGUAAUAGAUAGUUUAAACACCACCUCCGCUGAAGAAUAUCAACACCUAAUUCUGUAGCCCGCCCACUGAUUUCCGCAUGAUAGUCAUCAUAGUAGGGAAAUAACGUAAGUGGCGCUUAACUGGAUCGAGUAACCAAGCAAUAAACA
rnacentral:lncRNA from 1 species